UUCAGGGUCCCAGGAAAUGAGGAAUUGCUGUUGCUCAAAUAUUAUUAAAACUACCCAUCUUAAUCCCCUGAAUUCUACUAAUCAUUCAGCAUUCCUUUUGCAGCUAAGAAGAGAUCAGCGAUAUGACACUCAUAUAUUACUUCCCACCAGGCAUUAUGUAUAAGUAAAAGCAUCAGCUUCUCUUUGCUCUUCCGAGUGGAUUGCAGUCAGUGGGAGUUUUGCUUUAAGCACAGCCUGCCUGCGACAGGGCAUCUUUCACUGAAGAACUUUUCCUUUCUUGUAUUUUUCUUUUAAAUACAGUGGAAACUUCCCACUUUGGUGUAAGUCACAUUGCCCUAAGAACCUAAAGAAACAGUUACCACCGAGAAACUGAAAAUGCUACCUAUUAUUUGAUCAAUAUUUCCUACUGCUGCCAUAAAGUUGGACUUCCAGGGAUCCAAGGAUUUUUAAGAGACAUGUCAAGACCCUGAAAUGUUUCUUAUUCUCUUAAAUGAAGAGAUAAAAAAGGGCCCUUGCCCAGGUACUUUGUUCUUUAUGGGAUUGGCUGUCAUGUUCACACUGGAGGGAAAAACGGGAACGAUAGCUACUUUUUCCAAUUGCUUCUAUCUAAAAUGUCUACCUAAAUGGUCAGGGGAUACUGAUACAAGGACCUCCUUGUGAGGAAUGCCCACCAGCACGCUGGUGCUGGUUGCAGAUACUUGAAACGGGAGCCUGCCACUGGCAAAGCGCAGAAAAGGAAGGUCUGGCACACGAGAAGCAAAGCUGCUGGCUUCCCUCCCAGGCGCAAGCGAAAGGCAGCGACCUCCGCUCGCGUCUGGGGCUUGCAGGGUCUGUCCGGGACAGGUAACCGCAGCGAUGUUCCCCGCCUCUACAAACAGAUGCAGCUCUGGAAAGACACUGCUGCCACCUGCUGCGCCAUUUUGCUUUUAAAGGCACAAACCCAAGCCCCGAGUAAUGCUGCUGCCUACGGCUCAUGUUUUCCCAUUGGCUUUGUCUGCUAGGGUUAGGAAAGGAUUAAUUGCUCUGCAGGUUUUAAACUUACUUCGUGGUGGCGAUCGCGUGCUGUGCUAACCCCCCGGUAUUUCACAAGGCACGGUGAAGGCCACAGUUCCUACCCUGUCCAGGAGAGCACAGCAAGUCACUCGCUACCCACUGCUGCCGGUUGGCAGUGUCACCUGGCAUCAACAGCAUUGGCCUCCACCGCUGGAAUCUGUCUGUGAUCUAGACUGCAGGACAGAGAAGGCAGAGGGCCUAAUCCUGAAAGGGGCAGAAAGCUGCUGGCUCUCACUGAAGGCGAAGAAAGCAUGGACUGAUCUGCAUUUCCCAGUAGUAAAAAAGAUACUUCUGAACUUCUACAAAAAACAUUUACGCCCAGGUGAGAAGAUCCAGCAGUUCCCGAUUCCUUUCUGGCUUAUCUUUGAUCCAUAUACAGUAAAAUCAUGAAGGCAGAUUGUUCCGAACAGAGGACUCUACAUGGUAAGUUGUCCUGGUUUCAGCUAGGAUAGAGUUAAUUUUCUUCCUAGUAGCUGAUGCAGUGUUGUGCUUUGGAUUUAGUGUGAGAGCAAUGUUGACAACACACUAAUAUUUUUAGUUGUUGCUGGGUAAUGUUUAUAGUAAAUCAAGGACUUCUGGGUUUCCUGGGCCUUGCCAGCAAGAGGGCUGGAGGGGCAAGGGCAAUUGGGAGGGGACACAGCCAGGACAGGUGACCCAAAUUAGCCAAAGGGAUAUUCCAUGCCAUGUGAUGUCAUGCUGAGUAUAUAAACUGGGGGAAGAAGGAGGAAGGGGGGGACAUUGGGCAUUAUGGCAUUUAUCUUCCUGACUAACCAUUACGCAUGAUAGAGCUCUGCUUUCCUGGGAAUGGCUGAACACCUGCCUGCCCAUGGGAAGCAGUGAAUGAAUUCCUUGCUUUGCUUUGCCUGUGUGUGUGGCUUUUGCUCUACCUAUUAAAUUGUUCUUAUCUCAACCCCUGAGUUUUACAUUCCUUUUUGAUUCUUCUACCCAUCCCUCUGGGUGAGGGGGAGUGAGCGAGCAGCUGCGUGGUGCUUGGUGGCUGGCCGGGGUUAAACCAUGACACAAGUUUAGCACACUGAUGAGGGGAAAAGGUGGCAAGUAUCUGUCCGUGGUGAGAGAGCAUACUGGAACUGGGCUUCAGAGCAGAGAUCACAAAAAAAUGGAGAAGGCUGUAGUGAGGACAGCAGAAAUCCACAAAAUUCUUUCCUCCCUCUGUGUUAGCUUGGGCUUAAUAGUUCUGUCUUCCUUCUUAGAAAAGACAAUAUUCAUUCAGAGAAGAAAGAGUUAUCAUUAUGGAAUAAAAUACAAGCAUGAUGCCAUAGGAAACUUAUUGAGCACAGUCAUUAGCUUGACUGAUAUAAUUAGAGGACAUGUAGAAAAUACAUCUCUUUACAAAUUGCUUCGAGAUAACGGAUAGAUUUACCUGCAGAUGGAGAUGAAAGUGUAGCUAAAACAACUAUAUGUGCAAUGAAGGAAAUGACUGUUUAAAAAUGUGAAAAUCUGAUAUAUCACUUCUUUUUCCCCUCACUAAUGUUAGAUGCAAAGACAACGCUAAUUCCCUACUCCUAUUUGCUAUAAACUUGCUUAUGCAUUCAAGAUGUGCAUUUUCCCUCUUACUCUACAGCUGUGUGCUGAAAACUAAUUUUUAACUGUAUGCCUAUCAUAAACAGUAUACUUUUUGUGAUUCCUUAUUGGAAAAAAGAAAUGCAGCAGUUCAUUGGAAAAAAAAAUUUGGAUCAGAUUCUUGUCUACGGUCAUUUAACUCAGUGAAUUCAAUAAAGUCAUGCAAGUUUAGGCAAGGUCAAGAACUUGUUUAGCAGUAUUGAAACAAAAAAACCUGGAAGAUAAGUGUUUUGUGAUUAAAACCAACAUGAUUGUGCAUCUGAACUCCCUUUUUCUACCCCCUUCGCAACAUUUAGGUAUUCACUUUUCUCAGGAUCCAUUAUUGAAGACACUGUGCUUCAUCACCAUUUCCAUUCAUCUAAAGUAAAAUGGUGCUUCCAGAUCUGGAAUAAACUGCACCUCCUGCCUUCCAACAGCUCCUACUAUAAGUAAAGACAUAUAAUGGCAGUUUAAUAUUAAUCAAACUUUGAGUUUGUCUUUCUGUCCACUGACCAAGUCUGGAAAAGGAAUUUGUACUUUGGUUGUACCUUGGAGCAGACCUGCAAUUCUCAGUUACUGCUCACCCCUUUUCAGUGGAGAAGCAGAUCUCUUUUAUCAAGGACUGAACCUGAAAGUUGAGUCUUACUGCUGGAGAUCACGGGUAUUUUUGCUAUCUUACAUAAGAAGCAGGUUUUUUUAUCUAAUAAAACACACAUAUACCACUUCUACAUACACAUUUUCUAUUUUCUUAUACUGAUUAUGAACAUUUCUUUUGUUUAUCCAGUAGACCACUUCUCUCACACAGAUUUGUUUUUCCUACAUUUAACAUGAAUCAAGUUUGCAAUUUUUUCCUUUCGCUUUUCUUCCAUACUAGCUAGUAAAAAAUACCCCCCCCAAACAAACCCCCAAAUCUGCCCAAGAAGCUUUGUAAAUUAUUGCAGCACAAAUGUGUGUGUCUAACUUUUUUUC